rnacentral:rRNA from 1 species
UACGAAGGGGGGCGAGCGUUGUUCGGAAUCACUGGGCGUAAAGGGCGCGUAGGCGGCCCCUCUUAGUCGCGUGUGAAAGCCCCGGGCUCAACCGUGGGACGGCGCGCGAAACGGGAGGGCUGGAGUUCGGGAGAGGAGAGUGGAAUUCCCAGUGUAGAGGUGAAAUUCGUAGAUAUUGGGAAGAACACCAGUGGCGAAGGCGGCUCACUGGCCCGUAACUGACGCUGAGGUGCGAAAAGCGUGGGGGAGCAAACAGG